rnacentral:rRNA from 1 species
UGGGGAAUCUUGCACAAUGGGCGCAAGCCUGAUGCAGCAACGCCGCGUGCGGGAAGACGGCCCUAGGGUUGUAAACCGCUUUCAGGAGGGAAGAAAUGACGGUACCUCCAGAAGAAGGUGCGGCCAACUACGUGCCAGCAGCCGCGGUGACACGUAGGCACCAAGCGUUAUCCGGAUUUAUUGGGCGUAAAGAGCUCGUAGGCGGUUCGGUAAGUCGGGUGUGAAAUCCAAGGCUCAACCUUGGGACGCCACCCGAUACUGCUGUGACUCGAGUGCAGUAGGGGAGCAGGGAAUUCCUGGUGUAGCGGUGAAAUGCGCAGAUAUCAGGAGGAACACCAGUGGCGAAGGCGCUGCUCUGGGGCUGUAACUGACGCUGAGGAGCGAAAAGCAUGGGGUAGCAAAACAGGAUUAGAUACCCUGGUAGUCCAUGCCGUAAAACGUUGGGCACUAGGUGUGGGUCUCAACCAACGAGAUCCGCGCCGUCGCUAACGCAUUAAGCACUCCGCCUGGGGAGUACGGCCGCAAGGUUAAAACUC